UUGGCCAGGGAGGAGGGCAAAGCUGGGGGAUCCAAAAGGAUGGAAUUCAAGUUCUAUUUAAAGUGCACAUCACAAGCUGAGGCUUACUUGGAAGUUGGAGUCAAAAGCAAAGAGCGACUGUAGUACAGCCUUCCCGAAGGUUGAGUGUUCAUGAGACUGGACAUCUGGAGUGUAGUGUUGGAUGAAGACAGCGGAUAGCAGCCUGGCAGAUGACGUCCAGAGUUACAGAGCGAUCAAAGGCUAUGGAAGUGGCUACUACCCUAGUGGAAUGAGUCUUCACAGCUUUUCAUUGUUUUAUAAGUUUGUUUUAAUUGUAAACCACCCUGAGCCAUUUUGGAAGGGCGGUAAAGAAAGAAAGAAAGAAAGAAAGAAAGAAAGAAAGAAAGAAAGAAAAGAU